CGUGCUUGAUAUCUUUUUUAUCAAACAGUGCGUUUUGUGUUUGCCUAUAGAUAAGUCUUAGUUUUCGCCGGUCAUAUAAACACUAGACAAAACAUAAAAACAUAGUAUUGACGUGCGGUGAAAGGACUAACACGUUGGGUCACUUUAAUAUAAAUGAGACCAUUUAUUGGAUAAUCCGAAAAAUAUUAACAGUGACCUUAGCCCGACUACUAACAACCAGAUUUCCAAACUGGGUCUCUAUACACGCUUGCUGAAUUUAAAGUGUCAUCCACAUUGCGACACUGAUUCACGAUGAGUCUCUUACCGAUUAUGGCCACGCAACUCAAGGUGCUAGAUUUCACUCUAAUGCUGCUGAUCCUCGUUUGCUCAGGAAUCUGUUCUUCCGCUUCAGAGUUGGAUAACCACGGCAAUCCACAACACCGUAUACGUCAUCACAAUCAUCGUCCAUCCGUUUCUUAUGCACACCGGGAAGGCCAGCACGCGCUAGACCAAUAUGUACAAUCAACGGACAAUGGAAGUGCUCAACCUCUACAAGCACCCAUUGGUGAAACUCUUGAAAUCAAUUGGCUAAACAGUUCAUUGCACGAGAUUUCGAUAAAUUGGACGUUCGCUAAUAACUACAAAACCAGAGGCUACAUUAAAAAUGUUGUCGUGGAAUAUUUCACUGACAAAGGUAGGUUUACGUCACAUCCGUUCAAAUCUGACGUCAUGAUUUACACACUCGUUGACCUCGUCCCGGAUACCAUCUACACCAUGUGUGUUUACGUGAACGAAGUGUACGGUGUGAACAACGCGAGUUUCUGGCAGCAUUCAAAAUGUGUUAAACUUAAAACGAUUGAAUAUAUCCGGCGUGAUAGCGUGUUAGGCUUGAUAAUCACCGUUGGAUAUUUCUUCUUUAUGGCAAUGCUUGGGUACAGUCAGUGGAAGAUACGUGUGUGUGAAAUCAAGCGGAUUUCCAAGAAACGGGCAAAAUCACUUGACAAUAUCCCGGACGAAUCAGAAACUUCGACGAUGAGGACGCGGGAAUUUGCGGAAAGGGACCGUAUUCACAGUUCGAAACCCGGAAGUUCAAUAGAAUGCAAUGAUACUUGACUAUUCGAAUAGCGCGUUCGUGACACUAGUUGUAGUAACUGGUGAAAUUAUGUAGACAUUGUGUUUUGUAAUAACUGUGUUUGAAAUAUUAGUGAUAGGAAAGUGUGUUGCGUGUUGCAGAUUUUUUUUAUAGAAAAUAAUGCUGCAAUUUAUACUAACACAAUUCUUAGUGUGUAUAGCCAUUUAUCAGACUUCAGAGUAUACCAAAGACGCGUUAGAUCAAAUGAAUGCUACGUGCAUAUCGGAUCUCAGGUUUUAAGGAAAUAAUUUCAUUUUUGUAGAACAUAUUCACUUGUUCACUGUGUAGAUGCAUAUCGGUGGCCUCUCUGUCAAAAUGCUCCCUCUCUGUUCAUUCUCGGCUGUCAUUAACAAGAAAAUUGAUGAUCGACAUUCACAAAACAGGUAAGACAACUUCAAAUUAAAACCCGUAAACACAUGUGUGCAUAAAAAGAGUUGGCCAUGAGUUAAAGCAUAUAUCCAGCUACAGGUUCACAGUAUUCCGCAGGUCCAAACACAUAUCACAAACUCUAUCGAAGAUGGAAUGAUGACGAGGUUGGUGGAGCAAUCGUGCAUUGAUGCAAUUUUGAUGACGUUUUAACAUAGUUUUUCCCCAAUAUAUCUAUAGUGUCAUUGAUAUCAUCUUUAGCAGCCAAGAAUGAACAGAGAGGCAGCAUUUUGACAGAGAGGCAACCGAUAUUCAUCUACACCGUGUUAUCAUAGAAACUAUAUUGCCACGAGUGACACAGCCACUCGUGAAAAUUGCGCAACUCGUGAAGAUAUUAUUUUUUCUAUGAUUACGUGUGUAAUAACAAACGAUCUUACACUGACAUGAACAAAUUUUCUGUUUCUUGUAUGCCCCUUUUUCAAGAAAAUAAUUAACAGCUGUUUCCCUUUCGCUGAAAAGUUACCCUUUCUCGGAGUUUCUCCCGUGGCGUGCCUCAAUACAUUUCAAAACACAAAAUGACGCCAUUAGUGUGACGAAAUGACGUCAGUAUACCACCGAAAUUCUCCAGUUAAACUCUUUCACAAUGUAAAUAAUGAAAAAGCAUAACAUAAAAAUAAAAUGUGUUGGAUUCGGUUGGAUGUCGAUUUUAAUUCACUCGUGAUCAUAGAAAAUAAACAUAAAAAUAUUUAUGAUUAUCUAAAAAUAGAAAAAGGAGUCCCGAAAAUGUGUUCUUUUCAUCGGUGAAAAGAACAAUUUGUUUAUUUUCACUGCUGUUAUUUCACUGCAGAAAUGUCAUAUUUUCUCAUUAGGUAUAAAAGAAAAAGAUAUGUGGUCUAUUAUUAGUUCAGUGAAGUCUAGUUCAAAUGCCUUUUAAAGAAGAUAUUGGCUUUUUCAUACGACGUUAUUUUCUAAUACUGUGACCCAUCUUUGCCUAAACACUUGAUAUAUGUGUCUUACGUGUGGCAUUGUUUAGCCUCUAUUAUAAGCCUAUGGGUUAAGUAGCUCAUAUAUUGUCGAAAUAAUGGGGCGUAGCUUUCGCAUUUACACGAUGAUGCAUUUGUCAAAAAGAAUGAAACAAUUAAUGGCGUUAUUAUUUUGCGCGUGUAUGCAUUUAAGAAUACUUAAUCAAAUAAUUUAAAAGGUGAGGUGCGUGUUAUGUUCCAUUUACCAUAUUUGUUUUGAAUCGUCGAUUUUUUUAACAUUAAACAUUUUAAACCGUUUGAUAUAUUUUUGUUAUGGAUGACAGUCAAAAAUUAAGCUUUCUUCGUAUAAUUGCAUAUAUCAGAUGACUAAUGAGAAUUGUAAUACUGAGAUAAGUGUAUUUUUAUGUAGAUUGCAUCUUUAAGUUUAAAGAAUGUCGUAUACAUUUGAUAACAUAAAGUAAAAUAUUAAAUUGCUUUUAUCGAAUGUUAUUUAGCCAAUUUGACGCUUUCCAUUGACUUUACUUUACUUUAGUACUAUCAAAUACGUUUGUAUGAAAUAUUCAUAGCAUUACAUAGAUAUGAGCUAUACCGUACUUUCGUAACAUUCGAACAGUUAAAAAUAAAAGUCCCAUGUUCACCAAGAGCGUUUGGGUAUAAACCGUAUUAAAUGUAUUUAUUUUAAACGAACUACCAUCAGAUAAAUAUAUGCCAUUCUCUUUUAUAUCUUUUUAUUGCGUUUUCAUUUUUAAACUGAGGCAAUGUACGCAUGCAUUGAUUGUUUUCGGUUUUGACUUUUGAACCUUUAGGGAAAUUUAACAAAGUCUAUUAACAAUCCGGCAUUCUGCCUUUGGUUAAGAACAUGUAUACAAAAGAAAUAUGACCAAGAUAAGGAAUCAUACAAUAAUACAAAUUAAAGGUGAGCAAAUAUGACAAUCAUAACAAAUAAUAUGUGUGAUUAACCAUUAAUAAAUAUUUGUUAAAGUCUGUGUAUACUGACCAUGAGCCAUUUAUCAAGUAUGACACAUGCAACAUGUGGUGGAUGCGUCAUUGUUGAUGAAUGGUUGAUGCUUUUAAGGGAAUUGUUCUGUAUAAUGUAUAAAAAGUAUUAUUGUUUUACACUUUUAUAAUGAUUUGGAUGUUAAUGAUUUAUAAUGUAGUUUUAAAAGUGUACAAAUAAAGAAGAUUAUAUUAGCAAAGUUAAUAAUAAAUGGUUAUGACUAAAA